rnacentral:rRNA from 1 species
UGGGGAAUAUUGCACAAUGGGCGAAAGUCUGAUGCAGCAACGCCGCGUGAGUGAUGAAGGCCUUCGGGUUGUAAAGCUCUGUCUUUUGGGACGAUAAUGACGGUACCAAAGGAGGAAGCCACGGCUAACUACGUGCCAGCAGCCGCGGUAAUACGUAGGUGGCAAGCGUUGUCCGGAUUUACUGGGCGUAAAGGAUGCGUAGGCGGAUUUUUAAGUGAGAUGUGAAAUACCCGGGCUUAACUUGGGUGCUGCAUUUCAAACUGGGAAUCUAGAGUGCGGGAGAGGAGAAUGGAAUUCCUAGUGUAGCGGUGAAAUGCGUAGAGAUUAGGAAGAACACCAGUGGCGAAGGCGAUUCUCUGGACCGUAACUGACGCUGAGGCAUGAAAGCGUGGGUAGCAAACAGGAUUAGAUACCCUGGUAGUCCACGCCGUAAACGAUGAGUACUAGGUGUAGGAGGUAUCGACCCCUUCUGUGCCGCAGUUAACACAAUAAGUACUCCGCCUGGGAAGUACGAUCGCAAGAUUAAAACUCAAAGGAAUUGACGGGGUCAUAGC